CCUACGGGGGGCAGCAGUGAGGAAUAUUGGUCAAUGGGCGGAAGCCUGAACCAGCCAAGUAGCGUGCGGGAUGAAGGCCCUACGGGUCGUAAACCGCUUUUGCACGGGGAUAACACCCUCCACCUGUGGAGGUCUGCAGGUACCGUGCGAAUAAGGGCCGGCAAAUUCCGUGCCAGCAGCCGCGGUAAUCCGGAAGGCCCGAGCGUUAUCCGGAUUCAUUGGGCUAAAAGGGAGCGUAGGCGGGCGUUCAAGUCAGCUGUAAAAGCUCGCGGCUCAACCGCGCCCCGCAGUUGAAACUGGGGGCCUGGAGUUCACAACAGGCAGGCGGAAUUCGUGGUGUAGCGGUGAAAUGCAUAGAUAUCACGAGGAACCCCGAUUGCGAAGGCAGCCUGCCGGGGUGCGACUGACGCUGAGGCUCGAAGGUGCGGGUAUCAAACAGGAUUAGAUACCCGUGUAGUC
rnacentral:rRNA from 1 species